rnacentral:rRNA from 1 species
CAUUACAGAGUUUUUAACUCCUAAAACCAUGUGAACUUACCACUGUUUCCUCGGUGGAAGGUACCCGAAAGGGUGCUGGAAGCCGAUGGACAUCUAAACUCUUGUUAAUUUUGUUAAUUCUGAAUCAAACUAAGAAAUAAGUUAAAACUUUCAACAACGGAUCUCUUGGUUCUGGCAUCGAUGAAGAACGCAGCGAAAUGCGAUAAGUAAUGUGAAUUGCAGAAUUCAGUGAAUCAUCGAAUCUUUGAACGCACAUUGCGCCCAUUAGUAUUCUAGUGGGCAUGCCUGUUCGAGCGUCAUUUCAACCCUUAAGCCUAGCUUAGUGUUGGGAGACUGCCUAAUACGCAGCUCCUCAAAACCAGUGGCAGAGUUUUUACGUACUCUGAGCGCAGUAAUUCUAUUCUCGCUUUUGAACACGUCUAGACGAUAGCCAAAAACCGCUUGCUUCGGCAGCACUUUUUUAAUGGUUGACCUCGGAUCAGGUAGGAAUACCCGCUGAACUUAAGCAUAUCAAUAAGCGGAGGAAAAGAAACCAACAGGGAUUGCCCCAGUAACGGCGAGUGAAGCGGCAACAGCUCAAUUUGAAAUCUGGCCUUCUGGUCCGAAUUGUAAUUUGUAGAGGAUGACUUUGGUUAGGUACCUUUCGAGUUCCUUGGAACAGGACGCCUUANAGGGUGAGAGCCCCGUACGAUUGGAUGCCGAGCCUUUGUAAGUCUCCUUCGACGAGUCGAGUAGUUUGGGAAUGCUGCUCUAAA